AUGUUGGAUUUUUUUAUCCUGUUAGCGACCUUGACGAGUACCAAAAAGCGCGAAGUUCAACUAUUGUUCUGUGGUGUUCUGUUGCGUGUUGACGGCAAAAUUUUGCUGGCGUAA
rnacentral:antisense_RNA from 1 species